rnacentral:rRNA from 1 species
CAGCCGCCGCGGGAAUACGAAGGGGGCUAGCGUUGCUCGGGAUCACUGGGCGUAAAGGGCGCGUAGGCGGACUUUUAAGUCGGAGGUGAAAGCCCAGGGCUCAACCCUGGAAUUGCCUUCGAUACUGGGAGUCUUGAGUUCGGAAGAGGUUGGUGGAACUGCGAGUGUAGAGGUGAAAUUCGUAGAUAUUCGCAAGAACACCAGUGGCGAAGGCGGCCAACUGGUCCGAUACUGACGCUGAGGCGCGAAAGCGUGGGGAGCAAACAGGAUUAGAUACCCCUGUAGUCCCUGUCUCUUAUAC